rnacentral:rRNA from 1 species
ACGAACGCUGGCGGCGUGCCUAACACAUGCAAGUCGAGCGGAGAACAGUUGAAAGUUACUGGAUACUGUUCUUAGCGGCGGACGGGUGAGUAACGCGUGGGCAACCUGCCCUAUACAGGGGGAUAACACUAAGAAAUUGGUGCUAAUACCGCAUGAUGAGUCUCUGACACAUGUCAGAGCCUUUAAAGGAGAAAUCCGGUAUAGGAUGGGCCCGCGUCUGAUUAGCUAGUUGGUGAGGUAACGGCUCACCAAGGCGACGAUCAGUAGCCGACCUGAGAGGGUGAUCGGCCACACUGGAACUGAGACACGGUCCGGACUCCUACGGGAGGCAGCAGUGGGGAAUAUUGCGCAAUGGGGGAAACCCUGACGCAGCAGCGCCGCGUGGAGGAAGAAGGUCUUCGGAUUGUAAACUCCUGUCUUCAGGGACGAAUAAUGACGGUACCUGAGGAGGAAGCCACGGCUAACUACGUGCCAGCAGCCGCGGUAAUACGUAGGUGGCAAGCGUUGUCCGGAAUUAUUGGGCGUAAAGGGCGCGUAGGCGGCACUCUAAGUCAGAUGUGAAAUCCCGGGGCUUAACUCCGGACGUGCAUUUGAAACUGGAGAGCUCGAGUGCAGGAGAGGAAAGCGGAAUUCCUAGUGUAGCGGUGAAAUGCGUAGAUAUUAGGAGGAACACCAGUGGCGAAGGCGGCUUUCUGGACUGUAACUGACGCUGAGGCGCGAAAGCGUGGGGAGCAAACAGGAUUAGAUACCCUGGUAGUCCACGCUGUAAACGAUGGAUACUAGGUGUGGGAGGUAUCGACCCCUUCCGUGCCGCAGUAAACGCAAUAAGUAUCCCGCCUGGGGAGUACGGCCGCAAGGUUGAAACUCAAAGGAAUUGACGGGGGCCCGCACAAGCAGCGGAGCAUGUGGUUUAAUUCGAAGCAACGCGAAGAACCUUACCAGAACUUGACAUCGUGCGCAUAGAGGGUAAUGCCUCGAAGUCCUUCGGGACGCAUAGACAGGUGGUGCAUGGUUGUCGUCAGCUCGUGUCGUGAGAUGUUGGGUUAAGUCCCGCAACGAGCGCAACCCCUAUUGUUAGUUGCCAGCAUUCAGUUGGGCACUCUGAUGAGACUGCCGGGGACAACUCGGAGGAAGGUGGGGAUGACGUCAAAUCAUCAUGCCCCUUAUGUUCUGGGCUACACACGUGCUACAAUGGGUAGAACAACGGGAUGCAAGCUAGUGAUAGCAAGCCAAACCCUAAAAAAUACCCUCAGUUCAGAUUGUAGGCUGAAACUCGCCUACAUGAAGUCGGAGUUGCUAGUAAUCGCGAAUCAGCAUGUCGCGGUGAAUACGUUCCCGGGCCUUGUACACACCGCCCGUCACACCAUGGGAGUUGGAAGCACCCGAAGCCAGCGACUUAACCGCAAGGAGAGAGCUGUCGAAGGUGAAGCCAAUGACUGGGGUG